AUUCACAUCUCUGACUUUCGGGUC
rnacentral:siRNA from 1 species